rnacentral:rRNA from 1 species
CGUUCCUACGGGAGGCAGCAGUGGGGAAUAUUGCACAAUGGGGGAAACCCUGAUGCAGCGACGCCGCGUGAGUGAAGAAGUAUUUCGGUAUGUAAAGCUCUAUCAGCAGGGAAGAACAAUGACGGUACCUGACUAAGAAGCACCGGCUAAAUACGUGCCAGCAGCCGCGGUAAUACGUAUGGUGCAAGCGUUAUCCGGAUUUACUGGGUGUAAAGGGAGCGCAGGCGGCGCGUUAAGCCUGGUGUGAAAGUCCGCGGCCCAACCGCGGGACUGCAUUGGGAACUGGCGCGCUGGAGUGCCGGAGG